rnacentral:rRNA from 1 species
GUGGGGAAUAUUGGGCAAUGGGGGCAACCCUGACCCAGCAACGCCGCGUGAGGGAAGAAGGUUUUCGGAUUGUAAACCUCUGUCCUAUGGGAAGAAGGAAGUGACGGUACCAUAGGAGGAAGCCCCGGCUAACUACGUGCCAGCAGCCGCGGUAAUACGUAGGGGGCGAGCGUUGUCCGGAAUUACUGGGCGUAAAGGGUGCGCAGGUGGCCUGACAAGUCAGAUGUGAAAUACCGAUGCUUAACGUCGGGGCUGCAUUUGAAACUAUGAGGCUGGAGUGCAGGAGAGGGAAGCGGAAUUCCUAGUGUAGCGGUGAAAUGCAUAGAUAUUAGGAGGAACACCAGUGGCGAAGGCGGCUUUCUGGACUGUAACUGACACUGAGGCACGAAAGCGUGGGUAGCGAACAGGAUUAGAUACCCUGGUAGUCC